AUUGAACGCUGGCGGCAGGCUUAACACAUGCAAGUCGAGCGGAGACUUCGGUCUUAGCGGCGAACGGGUGAGUAAUACCUAGGAAUCUGCCUAUUAGUGGGGGAUAACGGCUCGAAAGGGUCGCUAAUACCGCAUACGUCCUACGGGAGAAAGUGGGGGAUCUUCGGACCUCACGCUAAUAGAUGAGCCUAGGCCGGAUUAGCUAGUUGGUAGGGUAAAGGCCUACCAAGGCGACGAUCCGUAGCUGGUCUGAGAGGAUGAUCAGCCACACUGGAACUGAGACACGGUCCAGACUCCUACGGGAGGCAGCAGUGGGGAAUAUUGGACAAUGGGCGCAAGCCUGAUCCAGCCAUGCCGCGUGUGUGAAGAAGGCCU
rnacentral:rRNA from 1 species